rnacentral:rRNA from 1 species
GGGAGGCAGCAGUGGGGAAUCUUGCGCAAUGGGGGAAACCUUGACGCAGCAACGCCGCGUGGGUGAUGAAGGCCUUCGGGUCGUAAAGCCCUGUCAGGUGGGAAGAAACGUAUCGGUGUUAAUACCGCCGAUAUUUGACGGUACCACCGGAGGAAGCACCGGCUAACUCCGUGCCAGCAGCCGCGGUAAUACGGAGGGUGCAAGCGUUGUUCGGAAUUACUGGGCGUAAAGCGCGUGUAGGCGGUCGGGCAAGUUAGAUGUGAAAGCCUUCCGCUUAACGGAAGAAGUGCAUUUAAUACUACCCGGCUGGAGUACGGGAGAGGAGAGUGGAAUUCCCGGUGUAGAGGUGAAAUUCGUAGAUAUCGGGAGGAACACCAGUGGCGAAGGCGGCUCUCUGGUCCGAUACUGACGCUGAGACGCGAAAGCGUGGGGAGCAAACAGGAUUAGAUACCCUGGUAGUCCACGCCGUAAACGAUGGGCACUAGGUGUAGGAGGUAUUGACCCCUUCUGUGCCGAAGUUAACGCAUUAAGUGCCCCGCCUGGGGAGUACGACCGCAAGGUUAAAACUCAAAGGAAUUGACGG